ACAAGACCUUGGCUUUGCAAACAUAACGCUUUGAGAGGUAAAAAAAUUUCCUCCUACGUUGGGAGCCGCUGUGCCUGUACUCCUCUUCAAUCGGACUGUUCACAAGGAGCCGCCCCCACUCCUCACUCUCUCCUCCACUGAAUUCUCCAUUGACGCGGCUUGUGAGCUUUCUUUCCUCCAUUGAAGCAGCUUCUGAGGCUAAGCCAUGAGUACAAAGAUCCGUGUAGUGGUUAGCUCUUUUGGCCGUCCAUUUUUGGAAAGCCUUCCACCUCAUACACGGAAGAUUUCACUGCCUGAAACUAGAGUAUUAUAUACAGUUCUACGGUCACCUCACAUUGACAAAAAGUCCCGAGAACAAUUUGAGACAAGGGUCCAGAAAUGUGUACUGGACAUAAAAGCUGAGAGGCAUGAAUUGCGCCACAAGCUGUUUUGGUUAGCACGUCAUCGUAUGUUUGGAGGUCAAAUGGAAGUCCAAGUGUUUUCUAAGACUCGUUUAGACCCUAAGCUUUUGCCUCUCCCACAAAGAAAGCCUUAGUAUCUUUUCUGCUGCCAUCUUAUGGAGCGCUCAAAUUUGUUGGUUAAAUUCUUGAUUUCAGAUCUCUUUGUAGCUUUUGUUGAGACCAGAUUGCUCCAAUUACCUGUUUAAGGAAGCUUCUUUUUUUGGUUUCUUGUUAUACUUCAGCAAAUAAUUCUUGCACUUGUCAGACGCUUGUGUCGUUAAAGUCUUAUGAAUGGUUAUUAGAAUUCUGUACAUCAGUGGAGUUUACCUAUAAGUUGAAGCUAAAUUUUUGCCAAAUUCUGGCUAUGAAAUCUCUCAUGGAUGUACUGGUUGAUCAAUCUUUAACCAUGAGAAAAAUUUACAGGUUUGUUACUAGAGAGCAAGUUUGUCUAUGUUUUGGAAAACUGCCGGGUUUUGCUACCCCUUCUGCUGUUCUUUGGGUCAAUGAUGAUCAGAUCAUGUAAUGAAGUCUCUUUGCUUUAA